GCUUCAAAAAGCCCUAAGUGGUCCCUGUUCUGUCUUCCUGUCCCAGUGAAAUUGGAGAUAUACACACAGGCACCUCUUGACAUCAUUAGGGAGCAUAUCAUUUGCA